UCGGCUCUGAUUCUCGCGAUCGCGGCACCGAAGUCACGGUCACGUGACCGGACCUCCUCCGCACCGCAACCCACUGACGAUGCGUCUGAUGAUCACAACACAGAGGUCCCGGUCACAUGAUCGGACCUCCUUCAUGACGCUAUCCGCCGGAAGUGCAUCAUGUACUGGCAACUCCGGACCUAAUACUAGACAGUUAGAAGGGCAUAUUUGCCCUUAGUUCAGUACAGUUGUUAUGUGUAUAAUACAGUAGUGCCAAUCGAGAUAAACAAAUCUACUUACUCACAACAGUUGUAAUUAAAUGUGCAGUUCCCUACAUUAAUGCACUUUUUCUUUUUUUCUGACCACAUAGCUUUAAUAUAUUUUAACACAAGUGGAUAUAUAGGAUUCCUUUAUAAGAUUGUAAUUAAACACAGCUGUAAUCAGUGGGCAAUCAGCACAGCCUUUAAAAAGGGCAUUUGCACAGUGGACAUAUACACCUUGAUAAAGCCUGUUGACACAGCGAAACGCGUCGGUUUCAAGGAGCCUGUCAUCACAGAUACCACAUCUAUCCUGGAAUACGCCUAGAAGUCCGCCUACGAUCUCUAACGGGGAACUUGUUACUGUCCGAGAAAGGAGCACAAGACCAAGCUCUCAUACAGGACUGCAAGCGUCCAGAAGCUAUUAAAGGUCAUUCCAUCUUACUCCUUAUGGACUAAACAACUCAUAACAAGUGGCACGUUUAUCCCCUGGACUGUGGCAUUUCUUCCAAGGAUUACAAAUAGGACACUGUGUGUGGCUUCCUUAUGUGGUAAUAUUCCAAACAUUUUACUGUGCUGUGUUUGCCCUUUUUUGGUCAUAUUUAUACCAAUUUUAUCCAAUAUUUCAUGUUACUUGCUAGGUGCAACUAGAUUUUCUAAGACUAAAAAAUAAAUAAAAAACAUAUAUACUAUUUUAUAUCCAG